GAGUACCCUAAAAACCAUAAAACUCUGUAGACUUUUCAAUUCAAUUUAAUUCAAUUUUAUUUGUAUGAUGCUUUUAACAAUUAUCCAAUCAAAAUAAAUUAUGAAAGGAUGUAUGAAAUGUGAAUGUGUACGAAGACUACCCUUCUCACAUAUGUAUAAAAAAAAAAAAAGUAAGGCUGCAUGACUGUGCUUCUGAUUGGCUGAGCACCGUUGUGACACUGCCUGGAGACAGCCGCCACUUGCCCCUCCGAUUGGCUGAGCAUUAUCGUAACACCGCCUCUGAGACGCCCCCUGAUUGCCAGAAUCUUCUCGAGACAGGAGAUUUGCGUUUUUGAUUGGCUCAGAAAAUAUUGUUACACAGCCCUCUGCACUUUCCGGACUUUCCUUAGACAGGAGAUUUGCGCUUCUGAUUGGCUGAGCAACAUUGUUACACAGCCCCAGAGACGCCCUACACUUUCCAGAAUUUUCCUGGGAUUGAUUUCUUCAUUGAGCUUCAAGUUUCACAUUUUGAGCUUCAUCUCGUGACCAACUUGAGGAUGCCUCGAAAAGGAAAGAGAUCCCAGGCUCAAAAACUUCGUUGGCUUAAGGCAGACCUGACUGGACAGCCUACCGUCAAUAAAGGUGUGACCCGGUCUUCUGAUGGAGAACAGGCAGGAGACGGUGACAACACACCCAGGAUGCUUUCACUGCAUGCAUCUCAUUGCCAGAGUGAUGCGAGUUACAGGAGGAAUUCGGAUACAAUAGCAAGAACAGGACAAGAUUCCUCAAGAUACAAUCUUAAGCUAAGUUUAACCACUUCAUUUCAUUUCAAUCAAUGUACAACGUCACCACAUUUUCAGAAAAAUUUUAAUCUAAUUGUUGAUUUUAAUGUUUCAGCCACAGUUGAAGUGAGAACGCCUGAGAAGGCCUGUUGACAACAAGAGGAGCAGAUGGCAGUGACUGAGGGAUCAAGAGUACUGCGAUACCAAUGAGGAUAUCCUCAAUACUGUCAUGCCAGAUCCAGCAGCUGGUCGAAGAGGGAUGCUUCGUGUGACCCUGCCUGCUUCGUGUGACCCUGCCUGCUUCGUGUGACCCUGCCUGCUUCGUGUGAGCCCUGCCUGCUUCGUGUGAGCCCUGCCUGCUGCAUGUGAGCCCUGCCUGUUGCAUCGACACACUGUAUAAAGGAAGAUCAAUUCCUGCUACCUGUUUCACCCAGAUGAGGAUGGGUUCCCUGUUGAGUCUGGUUCCUCUCAAGGUUUCUUCCUAUUACCAUCUCAGGGAGUUUUCCUUGCCAUUGUCGCCCUCAGCUUGCUCACCAGGGACAAUCUGACCAUUUUGUUUAAUACACAUUAAACUUCAAUAAUUCUUUUGAUUGUGUAAAUCUGCUUUGCGACAAUGACAGUUGUUAAAAGCACUAUGCAAAUAAAAUUGAAUUGAAUACUGCUGUAAUUAGCUUUUAGCUUUACUUAGAGUUUUUCUGUGUAUUACAUUAAUAAUGUGUUCACUAUUAUUUUUUGUAUAUUAUUUGUUUUUAUUUAAUGUAAGGCUGCUUUGUGAAUAGCACUAUGUAAAUGAAUUAGAAUUGCAUUUGAAUUGAAUUAUAAAUUGUUUUAGUUCAUGAAAUUAUUUGUUUGAAUUUCAAAGUAUGUUUACAUUUUAUAUGUGAAAUAAUUAAUAUUAGUUCACAAUGUUAUGCUGGUUUUGUUAUUUUCUGUAAGAUGACUUUAAUUGAUCUGAUUUAAAUAAUUUCUAAUAAAUUGUCCAACUGUU